GAGACUAAAUUUGUGGCUUCUGUUUCUCCUCCAUCCCGGGAAAGCCGGUAGGCUUCUUUGCCUACUCCCCGCCGUUCGCCAUCCUGCCUUUCGCGCGCACCCGUCGCCCUCCCGCGCGCCGUUCCCGUGCGCCAGCAAUCCCUCCCGCGCCCGCCGUCAAGCCGCUCAGGGAGGCGCCCCUCCGCUCACCGUCAAGCCGCCCAGGCACGCGUGCCUCCGCCCGCCGUCGAGCAGACCAGGGAGGCGCCCCUCCACCCGCCGUCGAGCCGCCCAAGGAGGCACCCCUCCGCUCGCCGUCGAGCCGCCAGGGAGGCGUGCCUCCGCCCACCGUCGAGCUGCCCAGGGAGCCGUGCCUCCGCCCGCCGUCGAGGACCCCCCGGCGUCGAGGAUCCCCGCCGUCCUCAUGUACAGGCCGCCGCGCUGGUCGACGGCAGAUCGUGCGGCGGGGAUGUGGAAUCCUCCCUCCGGUACUGUUCCCUUUGGUCAAGAUGUUCAGGGAAAGGUUCGAUCCGGAGGCCCAUCGCUCCAAUGGAGAAUUUGAUCCCUCCGUUGUCAGAUUGAUGCGCUGCUGUCGAGUAGUUCCUCCCACAAACAGCCAAGUCCAGUUGGUAGAUGGUUGCUGAAACUGCAGCAUGCCCUUGUUCAAAGUAUGCCUGUUUUUGCUCAUGAGAGUUGCUUGUAUGUGCCUGCAUAUUUUGCAUAUGUGCUUGACAGUUUCAGAUAUACAUAUAUAUGUGCUACUACUGAAAAUUAGAAAUUGGCAGUCUGAACACAGGUUCAGUUUGUGUCAGGGCUUGAACUUGACAGGUUCAGACAUAUAUAUUCAUAUAUAUAUGCUACUUUGUGACAGGCUUAAACUUGACAGAUUUAGUUCGUGUCAUAACAAUGGUUUUCCUUCACUAGUGAAUAUCAGAAAUACUGCUGUUUUGCUGCCAGUGACCAUGUUUUCUCUAUGCUAGUGAAUAUCAGAAUUCAGUUCAGGUUUCAUGAUGCAUGACGAAUUCAGUGACCUGUUCACUGAAUUCAGUUCAGGUUUGUUCACUCACUCAGUUCACUGAAUUGAUCUCAAUCAUGCUAAGCAUUUUGUCCAGUUCAGGUAAUGAGGGAUCAGUAGUCACCUAGAAUUUGUAGAUAUGACCAGGACGGCCUGCUGUAGGUGGCUCUUUCUGGUCUUGCAAAAAUCGUAGUUGCCUGGCCACCGACGGAGAGGAGGAUUGGAGGGAGCAACUGCAGCGUGCAGGAAUGAAUCAGAGGCGGCGUGCAGGGCCUGGACACCAAAGGAGAGGAGGAUUGGAAGGGGGCCGCUGCAGGGAGGAAGCACGGCGGCGUCGCAGGGAGUCAGAGACGCGCGGCGUCGUCCGAAAAGAGGAAAAAAAUCGUCGGACGCUAGAGUCCCACACAAUUUGAAUAUGAAGAGUCCAUAUUAUACCUACUCUGUUGGUUUCCCCGCUCUUAAGGAACCUCUGUAUUUUUUUACAAACCUUCCAACUAGUUAAAUUUAGCUAGAAUUAUUGCUAACCUGUUGGAGUUGCUCUUAAUUGACAAAGUUUUUUCUUCAGAAUAGAUAGCUCCGGAUGGCAACAAUUUUUAAACAGUUAAUGUGACUGAUGAUUUAUUCAAA